AGCUCCAGUAGCGUAUAUUAAAGUUGUUGCAGUUAAAAAGCUCGUAGUUGGAUUUCUGACUUCGAACGCCUGGCCCGCCGUCGCUAGAUGGUGUGUGCCGGUUUUGCGUUCGUAUCAUCCUUUCAGAACACGGCUCUGCCUUUAAUCGAGGACUGGAGCUCGUUGAUCUGGAUCUUUUACUUUGAAGAAAUUGGAGUGUUUAAAGCAGGCUUACGCCAGAACAUAUUAGCAUGGAAUAAUGAUUUAGGACUUUUGUUCUAUUUUGUUGGUUUCUAGGACGAAAGUAAUGAUUGAUAGGGAUAGUUGGGGGUGCUCGUAUUCGGCGGCCAGAGGUGAAAUUCUUUGAUCCGCUGAAGACGAACUUAUGCGAAAGCAUUCACCAAGGAUGUCUUCUUUAAUC
rnacentral:rRNA from 1 species